GACGAACGCUAGCGGCGUGCUUAACACAUGCAAGUCGAACGGAAAGGCCCUGCUUUUGUGGGGUGCUCGAGUGGCGAACGGGUGAGUAACACGUGAGUAACCUGCCCUUGACUUUGGGAUAACUUCAGGAAACUGGGGCUAAUACCGGAUAGGAGCUCCUGCUGCAUGGUGGGGGUUGGAAAGUUUCGGCGGUUGGGGAUGGACUCGCGGCUUAUCAGCUUGUUGGUGGGGUAGUGGCUUACCAAGGCUUUGACGGGUAGCCGACCUGAGAGGGUGACCGGCCACAUUGGGACUGAGAUACGGCCCAGACUCCUACGGGAGGCAGCAGUGGGGAAUAUUGCACAAUGGGCGGAAGCCUGAUGCAGCAACGCCGCGUGCGGGAUGACGGCCUUCGGGUUGUAAACCGCUUUCGCCUGUGACGAAGCGUGAGUGACGGUAAUGGGUAAAGAAGCACCGGCUAACUACGUG
rnacentral:rRNA from 1 species